rnacentral:rRNA from 1 species
UACGUAGGGUCCAAGCGUUAAUCGGAAUUACUGGGCGUAAAGCGUGAGUAGGCGGUUUCGCAAGUCCGAUGUGAAAUCCCCGGGCUUAACCUGGGAACUGCGUUGGAAACUACGAAGCUAGAGUGCGGCAGAGGGGGGUGGAAUUCCAGGUGUAGCAGUGAAAUGCGUAGAGAUCUGGAGGAACACCGAUGGCGAAGGCAGCCCCCUGGGUUAGCACUGACGCUCAUACACGAAAGCGUGGGGAGCAAACAGG